ACGGACGAACGACUGGCGGCGUGCGUUAACACACUGCAAGUGGUGCGACGACCACGGGCUUGCCCGUGGGCCGAAGACCGCGAACGGGUGAGUAACACGUGAGUAACCUGCCCCGACUGACCGGGACAACCCGAGGAAACUACGGGCGUAAUACCGGAUGUGGCGCACAGGUGUAAGCCUGUUCGCUAAAGGAAGCUUCGGCCUCCGCAUUGGGAGGGGCUCGCGGCCCAUUAGCUUGUUGGUGGGGUAACGGCCCACCAAGGGCUUCGAUGGGUAGCUGGUCUGAGAGGACGAUCAGCCACACUGGGACUGAGACACGGCCCAGACUCCUACGGGAGGCAGCAGUGGGGAAUCUUGCGCAAUGCGCGAAAGCGUGACGCAGCAACGCCGCGUGGGGGAAGACGGCCUUCGGGUUGUAAACCCCUUUCAGGAGGGACGAAGGUUCGGCGGUUAAUAGCCGCCCGGACUGACGGUACCUCCAGAAGAAGCUCCGGCUAACUACGUG
rnacentral:rRNA from 1 species